rnacentral:lncRNA from 1 species
UCCUAGCUUCUUGAAAUUUCUUAAAUUUCAGUUUUGUUAUUUUUUUUUCUUUAUUAACAUCCUACUAGACCAGUUUUUUUUUUUCUUUGUAGUUACCUUGGUUGGGAUCUCUCAGUUACUUGAGCCUAUAAGGAGCCUUUGAGAGGUGACCAUCUGAUCUAAAAGUGUUCAGGAUUAUUGGUUUCUGAAGACUCCAUGAGGAGUCAUGGUCUAACUACAAAGAAUAUUAUGAUCAUCCAAAUUCAAAAACAAAAAAAAAGCUGUGAAAAGUUUACAGUACCAAUUUGUAAGUUAUUCUUUUUUUAUUUUUUUUUAAUUUUUUUAUAUAAUGAUUUUUAUUUUUUCAUUAUAGCUGGUUUACAGUGUUCUGUCAAUUUUCUACUGUACAGCAAGUUGACCCAGUUACACAUACAUGUAUAGAUUCUUUUUUCUCACAUUAUCAUGCUCCAUCAUAAGUGACUAGAUAUAGUUCCUAGUGCUAUACAGCAGGAUCUCAUUGCUUAUCCAUUCCAAAGGCAAGAGUCUGCAUCUAUUAACCCCAAGUUCCUAAUCCAUCCCACUCCCUUUCCCUCUCCCUUGGCAACCACAAGUAUAUUCUCCAAGUCCACGAUUUUCUUUUCUGUGGAAAGAUUCAUCUGUGCCAUAUAUUAGAUUCCAGAUAUAAAUGAUAUCAUAUGGUAUUUGUCUUUCUUUUCCUGACUUACUUCACUCAGUAUGAGAGUCUCUAGUUCCAUCCAUGUUGGUGCAAAUGGCAUUAUUUUGGGUUUUUUAACGGCUGAGUAGUAUUCCAUUGUGUAUAUACACCACAUAUUCUUAAUAUAUACAACAAAUGUGUUCCCAUUUUGUUGAUAAACAUUAGGUUUUUUCCAUGUCUCGGCUAUUGUGAAUAGUGCUGCAAUGAACAUGCGGGUGCAUGUGUCUUUUUCAAGGAAAGUUUUGUCCGGAUAUAUGCUCAAGAGUGGGAUUGCUGGGUCAUGUGGUAGUUCUAUGUAUAGAUUUCUAAGGUACCUCCAUACUGUUCUCCAUAGUGGUUGUACCAGCUUACAUUCCAACAGUGCAGGAGGGUUCCCUUUUCUCCACAUCCCCUCCAGCAUU